UUCCCGCGCGGGCGUGCGAAUCUGCCGCGGUGGCCAUUGGUUCUGGCUCAGCCCGGGCCCUGGAGGCCCAGCCGGCCCUGGGGAGAACUCUCUGGAAUUAAGAAACCAUGGAGGGGAGGGGAGAGGGAGCGUGGGGAGGGGAUACCGACCCAGGCCGGGGUGGGCAGAGGUGGUGGCCACUGUUGCUGGAGAAGAGAAAGGGCUGGAACAGAAGGCUGGGGCCCUUGGAGGACCCAAAUGCUCAUUGCUCAGGAGAGGGAGCGUGGGGAGAGAGGGCCAGCCCCAGUAGGACCUUGAAUCAGGGCGGCUGAGUAGGCGCUUCUCGGGGGUCCCUGACGUGAAGACCAGACCCAAGAGCGUCUCUCCACCCUCGUGCCAGUUUCCAGGGAGGAGAGCAGGGGCACGAGGGGCCACACCCCGCUGCCUGGCACUGGAGGAGCCCUAAGAUUUUAGACCCACGCUCUGAAGCGGCAGCUCCACCUUCAGCUGAAGACACUCCAAUCCCUAACAAAGGACACUUUUAAAAAAUAACAAAGGGUGAACAGAAUGAGCUUUUCACGCUCCUUUGUGGAAGGAAAACCUGUCCCCCAGCUAACUGCACCUGCUUCCGCCAUUUCUUUUGACAAUAAAAUAUGUCAAAGUUAA